UAGGGAAUAUUGGACAAUGGGCGCAAGCCUGAUCCAGCCAUGCCGCGUGCAGGAUGACGGUCCUAUGGAUUGUAAACUGCUUUUUGUACAGGAAGAAACAGUUCUACGUGUAGAACCUUGACGGUACUGUAAGAAUAAGGAUCGGCUAACUCCGUGCCAGCAGCCGCGGUAAUACGGAGGAUCCAAGCGUUAUCCGGAAUCAUUGGGUUUAAAGGGUCCGUAGGCGGUUAGAUAAGUCAGUGGUGAAAGCCCAUCGCUCAACGGUGGAACGGCCAUUGAUACUGUCUGACUUGAAUUAUUAGGAAGUAACUAGAAUAUGUAGUGUAGCGGUGAAAUGCUUAGAGAUUACAUGGAAUACCAAUUGCGAAGGCAGGUUACUACUAAUGGAUUGACGCUGAUGGACGAAAGCGUGGGUAGCGAACAGGAUUAGAUACCCAAGUAGUCCCUGAGCGGGCUGGCAAGGCGCAU
rnacentral:rRNA from 1 species